GAGGUAACGGCUCACCAAGGCGAUGACGCGUAACUGGUCUGAGAGGACGGCCAGUCACAUCGGGACUGAGACACUGCCCGGACUCCUACGGGGGGCUGCAGUAACGAAUCUUCCCCAAUGCACGCAAGUGUGAGGGAGCGACGCCGCGUGUAGGACGAAGUCCUUCGGGAUGUAAACUACUGUCAGGGGAUACCAAGUUCUGAGGAUCCCCAGAGGAAGAGGCGGCUAACUCUGUGCCAGCAGCCG
rnacentral:rRNA from 1 species